rnacentral:misc_RNA from 1 species
GAUGAAGAACGUAGCGAAAUGCGAUAAGUAGUGUGAAUUGCAGAAUUCAGUGAAUCAUCGAAUCUUUGAACGCACAUUGCGCCCCUUGGUAUUCCAUGGGGCAUGCCUGUUCGAGCGUCAUUUGUACCUUCAAGCUCUGCUUGGUGUUGGGUGUUUGUCUCGCCUCUGCGUGUAGACUCGCCUCAAAACAAUUGGCAGCCGGCGUAUUGAUUUCGGAGCGCAGUACAUCUCGCGCUUUGCACUCAUAACGACGACGUCCAAAAGUACAUUUUUACACUCUUGACCUCGGAUCAGGUAGGGAUACCCGCUGAACUUAAGCAUAUCAAUAAGCGGAGUA